rnacentral:rRNA from 1 species
CCUACGGGUGGCAGCAGUGGGGAAUAUUGGGCAAUGGGCGCAAGCCUGACCCAGCAACGCCGCGUGAAGGAAGAAGGCUUUCGGGUUGUAAACUUCUUUUGUCAGGGAAGAGUAGAAGACGGUACCUGACGAAUAAGACACGGCUAACUACGUGCCAGCAGCCGCGGUAAUACGGAGGUGGCAAGCGUUGUACGGAUUUACGGGGUGUAAAGGGCGUGUAGUCGGGUUGACAAGUCAGAUGUGAAAUCCUGCGGCUUAACCGCAGAACUGCAUUUGAAACUGUUGAUCUUGAGUACUGGAGAGGCAGAUGGAAUUCCUAGUGUAGCGGUGAAAUGCGUAGAGAUUAGGAGGAACACCAGUGGCGAAGGCGGUCUGCUGGACAGAAACUGACGGUGAGGCGCGAAAGCGUGGGGAGCAAACAGGAUUAGAUACCCGGGUAGUC